UCAGCUAUGCAUUUUUGCCAGUGAUGAACAAGAGCCUGCAUGCCGAGCACCACCAUGCAGGGGCCACACUGCCACAUGACCCAUGGUGCAUCUCAGCACAGUGGGGAAGUUGGGCCCAGGCCUCCCACUACUGCUCCAUGCCCUUUCCAAACUCCUGUGUAAUCCGUGAGCCACACCACCAGUUCCAGCAGAGGACUACCCUGUCUGGCUGUGCAUUUCAUCCCAGUGAUCAGCAGCAGCAUGGAGAAUGGGUUGAUGUUCAAAUGGCUAUAAUUAGGCUUCAAAGCAACCAUUAUGAUGAAAGGGGAAAUCUCACAUUCCUCCUUUCCACACUAUCAUUUCAGGGUGUCUGGCAGCACCCCAAGAAGACAAAACUGCAUCACCUUGUGCCACCAGGGCUACCUGUUUGCAAAGAAUGUCUCACCUUUGCUUUAUAGAGAAAGGCAUUUUUCUACAGGAAGAGAAGCCGUGCCCUUUUGAAUUAAACAUUCUCUUUUCUCCGUGUCUGUGGGCUUUAUCUGCCCGGUAUGUGAGCACUUUGCGAAUAUUUGACUGGAAAUGACAUGAGAUAAGGAUAGGUAAUGAUCUACUGGCGCAGUGGGAGGCAUGCUCCACUGAGCUGCUCCGUAACUGCAGGGGUACUGAUAAGGGUCACCAUGCUGCUGCUCAGUGCUGGUACUGGCUUAGUAUGGACUUAUUCUGAACAAAAUUACUUUUCUUUCUUUCUGUCCGCUCUAUGGAAUGGGGGUCUCCUACCAGGUUCAGUCCUCUGUGUUAUUCCAGAGCUUUUCUUGAGGAUAUUAACAGUUUCCAUCCUCCUCCUAAUUCCAUGCCAUAAAACAUCCCUCUUACUCAUGCAGAACACUCCGAUCCGCCCCCUUGCCUCCUGGCUAAUUACCGUCAUUAUCCGGCUAGACAAACUCGUCGGGAGAUAGGAUCUCCUCCCAGCCAGGGUCAGCGCAGGAAGCUCUGCCAUCCGCCACUGUGUCAGCGUCACCUCUGCAGCUCUGGUUCCUGACAACCAAGAGGGGAGCAGAGGAACGUUGCCACAUCGAAGCUGCUCCAAAGGCUCCUGGUGGGCAAAGGCUGCACCUACACUCUUAGUCCUGGUACGGGAGUCCUCCUUUACAGAUGCUGAGAAAUACAUAUUGAGUCAUUGCCUGGAUGUAUCAAUGUGAUAAAUCAUGGAAUCCUUCACUCUGAACUUCACAGUUUACCCCAGCACAAACCCUAGGUUUCUGUGCACUGAGGAUGUAGGGCUUGUGCUGAGAAAAUGGAGGAUAUAUACCUCAUACCUUUCACCUAAUUCCCUUCCUGAGUAGGUGAGAACACUCCUUCCUCUCAUAAACCUUGGGUGACACCUCAUUUUGCACACACAGCCUGGCAUGCCCAGCAGUGGUGUGUCACUGCUGUACCAAAUAACCGUGCUGCGUGGUACCAGCCCUGCGGCACCAGGGACAUCUGUAUCACUCCAUGGGUGCUCCAGAACGGAAAUGUGCACAUUUAUGGACUGCUGCAACCAUGGCUACAGCGAAACAAAACACUCCCUCAGCUGCUGUGGUGACCCACACUGGGGAUGGUUCCAGCUCUUCUGAGCACCUGCAGGGCUGCAGCCAACCUUCUGAGGCUCAGAGAUCAAAGGGAUUGUCCUGCAGAUUCAAGCUCAGCCCCAUUUCUGUCAAGAGAGACUAUCUGGAGUCCUGCAGUUGCCUCCGAGAGAAGGAGACAUUGGCAAGCUGUGGUCACAUUUCCAGAUCAGCAAAAGGAAGACAACAGACACCUCCAGCUUUGAGCUCUCCUGAUGGAAAAAAGCCAGGUUACAAUGUGGGUCUUCUUUAUACCCUCUACCAGACCCUGGAAACAUUCACCAGUAGGAGGGAGGAAGCUGCAGUGCAAGAAGGGUACUCCAAGCCAGAUGUGGAAGUGGGGAUGCUCUAGACAAUAGUCCUUCUCUGAUUCAUCCUUAGAGCAGGCCCUGUCCUGUAUAGGAAAGGAGGCAGAAAUAAAAUGUUGCCUGUGUGUGUAAUG